AGGGUUUGAUCAUGGCUCAGAUUGAACGUUGGCGGCAGGCCUCAUACAUGCAAGUCGAACGGUAACAGCGGAGCUUGCUCCGGCUGACGAGUGGCGGACGGGUGAGUAACGCGUAGGAAUCUGCCCAGUAGUGGGGGACAGCCCGAGGAAACUCGGAUUAAUACCGCAUACGCCCUACGGGGGAAAGGGGGCCUUUGGCUCCCGCUAUUGGAGGAGCCUGCGUUGGAUUAGCUAGUUGGUGGGGUAACGGCCUACCAAGGCGACGAUCCAUAGCUGGUCUGAGAGGACGAUCAGCCACAUUGGGACUGAGACACGGCCCAAACUCCUACGGGAGGCAGCAGUAGGGAAUCUUGCACAAUGGGGGAAACCCUGAUGCAGCGAUGCCGCGUGAGUGAAGAAGGCCCUUGGGUUGUAAAGCUCUUUCGUCGGGGAAGAAAAUGACUGUACCCGAAUAAGAAGGUCCGGCUAACUUCGUGCCAGCAGCCGCGGUAAUACGGAAGGUCCAAGCGUUAAUCGGAAUUACUGGGCGUAAAGCGCGCGUAGGUGGUUUUUUAAGUUGGAUGUGAAAGCCCUGGGCUCAACCUAGGAACUGCAUCCAAAACUAGAUGACUAGAGUACGAAAGAGGGAAGUAGAAUUCACAGUGUAGCGGUGGAAUGCGUAGAUAUUAUGAAGAAUACCGGUGGCGAAGGCGGCCUCCUGGAUCUGUACUGACACUGAGGUGCGAAAGCGUGGGUAGCGAACAGGAUUAGAUACCCUGGUAGUCCACGCCGUAAACGAUGACAACUAGCUGUUGGGAGACAAUGUCUUUCAGUGGCGCAGCUAACGUUUUAAGUUGUCCGCCUGGGGAGUACGGCCGCAAGGCUAAAACUCAAAUGAAUUGACGGGGACCCGCACAAGCGGUGGAGCAUGUGGUUUAAUUCGAUGCAACGCGAAAAACCUUACCUACUCUUGACAUACUUGGAAGCUCUUGUAAUGAGAGUGUGCCUUUUGGAACCAAGAUACAGGUGCUGCAUGGCUGUCGUCAGCUCGUGUCGUGAGAUGUUCCGUUAAGUCGGAUAACGAGCGCAACCCUUACCCUUAUUUGCCAGCGAUUCGGUCGGGAACUAUAAGGGGACUGCCGGUGAUAAACCGGAGGAAGGUGAGGACGACGUCAAGUCAUCAUGGCCCUUA
rnacentral:rRNA from 1 species